AGCGUAGACGGCGAUGCAAGUCUGAAGUGAAAUACCCGGGCUCAACCUGGGAACUGCUUUGGAAACUGUAUGGCUAGAGUGCUGGAGAGGUAAGCGGAAUUCCUAGUGUAGCGGUGAAAUGCGUAGAUAUUAGGAAGAACACCAGUGGCGAAGGCGGCUUACUGGACAGUAACUGACGUUCAGGCUCGAAAGCGUGGGGAGCAAACA
rnacentral:rRNA from 1 species